GUCGUGGUUUGAAGGGAAGUGAAUUUUUUUGGAAGUAGUGGUCAAACCAAUCAGUCCUUAGGUCUGAGUAUUGGCACCUUUGUUGGCCACUAAGAGGUUGGACACGCCUCUGAGGACACGAGGGGUUAAAAGCCGGAUUUCCCAGCAGGACUCUCUCUUUCCCUGCUCUGCUUUCGGAGAGGGAGCGUCUUCUCCUCUCCCCUGCCCGGGCCUGGCUAGGCCGGGUGGGGGAGGGGAGCAAGGUGGGCCUGGCUGAGCAAGAGAGAAGGUGCCGAGUUGGAGCUGCUUGUGAGAGCUGCAGUGCCUGCGAUCGCCUGUGCCUGACCUUGGUGGUGGGAGAUAAAGCUUUUAACUCUUUCUAAGGCAGAAGAGAGUUAUCCCUGGACGCUGUAUUCUCAUAGUUGGUGGUUUUAGAAGAGAGAGGACAGCCUGGGACCGAGAGGGUAAUGUGAGAUGGAAAGAAGCCCCUUUGAUUGCCGGAAUGAAGAGGAGUGGCCUAUUGGCCGGACUUUUCUUGCAUAAUGAUAGCCAUAGACGGACCCUGGACCCUCCUGACUAUAAAUAAGACUGUGUUUGGGUGGAUGUUUUUGGCUCAAACCCAGAGACGUUCUGGCCUGCUUCUUGGAGCCCCCGGCCCCAGGGGUAAAUGGGGGGGACCUGAGUCCCAAAAUGAGAAGAUGGCUGGUUUUUGGUACUUGGCCAAAACAUCCUUAAAAAGAGCCCUGUUGCAGUUCAGGUCCAUGGACGGCAGUGAGAGUGCCGGACAUGGAAAGGAGGGUGUCACCCUGGCAGACUCUUCGAGGCAGUGCCAUGGGUGACGUGGGAACACGGGAUGGUGGACCUGUGUUUCCUGUGGGGGAGGGUCUGUGGUGCGAGAGAGACUCCUCUCGUCCUGGAUGGAAUGUGGAUUGUCUGAAUUUUAAAGGAUGAUGAUUUGGAUUAGGAACCCAGGGUUGUUGAGGGAUUAAGCAAGUAGAUGAAGGUAAUGUGCUGGAGACAACUGAGUGAGCAUGUAUGGAAUGGAAAUUGGGGGGGAGGAGAAGCAGUGUUUUUGGGAGGUUUUCUCUUCUGCUUUUGGGUGGCUGGGUUUUUCUUUCCUUGUCUAUUGUCCAUUGUUAUGUGGUGUAAUAAAUUGUCUGUCUGUUUCAAGCA